UACGUAGGGUCCAAGCGUUAUCCGGAAUCACUGGGCGUAAAGCGUGCGUAGGCGGAUGUUUAAGUGCAAUGCGAAAUCCUGUGGCUCAACCAUAUGGACUGUGUUGCAUACUGGAUAUCUGGAGGAAUGCAGAGGCAAGUGGAAUUACUGGUGUAGCAGUGAAAUGCGUAGAUAUCAGUAGGAACACCAAUGGCGAAGGCAGCUUGCUGGGCAUUUCUGACGCUAAGGCACGAAAGCGUGGGGAGCGAACAGG
rnacentral:rRNA from 1 species